UUCUUCGUCCAAGAAGAUACGUACGCAUAGGAUGCGACAUCCUAGCGAGCAUGUGUCGUUUCCACGGUCGAACUACUUUGACUCUGAUGUCUAUGCCUGAUAGACUAAGUAGGCCCAGGAUGCGAUAUCCUGCCGAGUCAGUCUUGUUUGUUUUCUUGCGUCUCUUUCAGCCGGUAUUUGUGUGUUUAUGAGCAGUGUUUUAGCAACCAUUUUCCUUCCUUUUGUGCGUGGAUCCCGUCGAGUACGACGGAUGCGUAGGGGUG
rnacentral:lncRNA from 1 species